ensembl:lncRNA
CUUUUCCGGGCUGAUCCAUCACCGGUGAGUUGUGGAGCACCGAACAAUGAACAAAAGUGAGCAAAAUGCGCGAUGACUUGAACAUGUUGAGAGCAUGAUGAAAUUAAUCAGUAACCAAGAGGAUCGUGAAAAGUAUGAGCAAUUUUAAACUGAGUUAUUGCGAAGUGACAUUCAGCAGAGCCUCGCAGAGGAGACGAUGCGGACACAUGACUGAGAAGGUCAGGUGUCCCGCCACUCUGCCGUCCACCAAUCACAUGCUCAAAUUGAAAUGUUCCUUUGACGUCUUGAUGAACGACCCCAAGCUGAGCUGAGCACACUCCCACAGGCGCCAUGGGGCGGCCAUCUUCAAGGUUGUCCUGACGACCGCGUCGCCGUGGACCAGAGCAAACAGAGCCACGAGAAAAGACGAGACAAAUCCUCCUCACAGAGCUGGAAUUGUCUUCGAAGGAGUGGGGGAGUCCUCUUGUCCAUCUCGGUCGGUGUUUUCGGACGGUCGACGCGCGUUCAGCCCGGUAUCAACUCGAUCAGGGGAGUGGACCGGGAGUCAGGACCGCCCCCAUGGCCUCUGGGCCUCGUUGCGGAGGCAGACGUCGUCCUGUUGCUUCCUUUAAUGAGAUCUGGAGGCGUGCAAUCUAAUAUUCACCACAGAGGCCCCGGUCGGGCCCCUGAGCCCGGGGGGCCAAUUCGAUGAGAGCGGAGUCAGCUCUGAUCAGGGUGACUGGCGAGGCCCCAGCCUGAGUGACGCUGGGGGGGGGGGGCUGCUGGUUCCGUUGGUUUUCACAUUCACCCACGAAUCGGACGGUUUGCAGUGACGUUUGCAUUGUUGAUAGUUAGGGUGGGGUUUAUUUUGUUUGUAGCGCUCUGCUUUUAUUUUGACGUGGCUGUUGGAGCCUUCUUUCGUUAGACAGUUUAUAAACUUUUUGGUUUUGAAAAAUCUAUAUAAUUUUUGUUUCUGUGACUAGGCCCAGUUCUCUGUUUUUAUUUGAAGGAUCGAGAAAUUAGGGGAUAGUAGGGUUUAGUUGAGCACCAUAAGAGCCCACUUUGUUUUUAAUCUGCAACUUUCAUAUCGUUAGCCUCAGAGCAUAAUUGCCUAAAUCAUAUUUUAAAGUUCAGAUUGUAUUGAAUAAGUCUUAGUCUUAGUCAAAUAGAUGACUUAGGCAGAUAAUGAUUAUGGACAGUCAAAAGCAAUCUGAUUGGCUUAGGAUAGCCAAUGAAGCACAGUGAAUCAGCUGCAAUAGAAUAGAGUAGAGUUCGGUUAGUUAUCACAAUUUGGCCAAAAUGUGACUUUGCAUUGAGGCUAACAAUAUAUAGGGCCAGACAGAGGUUGUUUCCAUCUAUAUCGCUGCGCUUUUAUCUUGAAAUACCAUCCACUGCGAAGCGCAAACCAAAACUGGCCCCGCAGCACCUAUCUUUAUGGCCGAUAAACAUCCUGCUAGCGACGCAGACGCCCUCAGCGUGCCCUUGUGUAAGCAGGACGCUCGUUCCGGAGGCUUCGCGGCCGUUCGGCACUUGUGCUCUUAACCUUUCUUCAGAGAUCACUCAUUAGCUUUGACUCAAAAGAGAAGGGAGGCCUGUCCUCCGGUGAUGAAUGGAGCUCCUCGCCACCAUCCCAACUGUCAGCAGUGAUUGAUGCACUGAGAACAUCCCUGGCCCACAUUGCGGCGUGUUCAUCCCCCGUGAACGCUCUGCGUUGGGGGAUCAGGAGGAGGAUGGUGGUGGUGGUGGUGG